UACGGAGGAUGCGAGCGUUAUCCGGAUUUAUUGGGUUUAAAGGGUGCGUAGGCGGAAUAUCAAGUCAGCGGUAAAAAUUCGGGGCUCAACCCCGUCGUGCCGUUGAAACUGAUGUUCUUGAGUGGGCGAGAAGUAUGCGGAAUGCGAGGUGUAGCGGUGAAAUGCAUAGAUAUCACGCAGAACUCCGAUUGCGAAGGCAGCGUACCGGCGCCCAACUGACGCUGAAGCACGAAGGCGUGGGUAUCGAACAGG
rnacentral:rRNA from 1 species